rnacentral:tRNA from 1 species
AGAAACUUAGGAUAUCUUAAACCGGAAACCUUCAAAGUUUCAAAAAAGAGCCAUAAAACUCUUAGUUUCUG